rnacentral:rRNA from 1 species
AUUGAACGCUGGCGGCAGGCCUAACACAUGCAAGUCGAACGGUAACAGGAAGAAGCUUGCUUCUUUGCUGACGAGUGGCGGACGGGUGAGUAAUGUCUGGGAAACUGCCUGAUGGAGGGGGAUAUCUACUGGAAACGGUAGCUAAUACCGCAUAACGUCGCAAGACCAAAGAGGGGGACCUUCGGGCCCCUUGCCAUCGGAUGUGCCCAGAUGGGAUUAGCUAGUAGGUGGGGUAACGGCUCACCUAGGCGACGAUCCCUAGCUGGUCUGAGAGGAUGACCAGCCACACUGGAACUGAGACACGGUCCAGACUCCUACGGGAGGCAGCAGUGGGGAAUAUUGCACAAUGGGCGCAAGCCUGAUGCAGCCAUACCGCGUGUAUGAAGAAGGCCUUCGGGUUGUAAAGUACUUUCAGCGGGGAGGAAGGGAGUAAAGUUAAUACCUUUACUCAUUGACGUUACCCGCAGAAGAAGCACCGGCUAACUCCGUG